rnacentral:rRNA from 1 species
CCUAACGGUUAAUACCCGUUAGCGAUGACAUUAGCUGCAGAAUAAGCACCGGCUAACUCUGUGCCAGCAGCCGCGGUAAUACAGAGGGUGCAAGCGUUAAUCGGAAUUACUGGGCGUAAAGCGAGCGUAGGUGGCUUGAUAAGUCAGAUGUGAAAUCCCCGGGCUUAACCUGGGAACUGCAUCUGAAACUGUUAGGCUAGAGUAGGUGAGAGGGAAGUAGAAUUUCAGGUGUAGCGGUGAAAUGCGUAGAGAUCUGAAGGAAUACCGGUGGCGAAGGCAGCUUCCUGGCAUCAUACUGACACUGAGGCUCGAAAGCGUGGGUAGCAAACAGGAUUAGAUACCCUGGUAGUCCACGCCGUAAACGAUGUC